rnacentral:tRNA from 1 species
UCCAGGGUAGCCUAGUAGUCAUAGCAUCUGCCCGGUAAGCUGAAGGUCGUGGGUUCGAUUCCCAUCCCUUGGCA